GCUGUCACGAGGGAUAUUUACCGGAAGAAAGAUCAGGUAAAGUCUCGAAGGUUGUAUCUUGGGGAAAUCGGGCGAUUGCAUAGAAUAAUAGGGUUUAAAGAAGUUAAUCUGAAAGCGGAAUGCGCUGUUUUCCCUGAUGACACGCUGCAAAGGAUGAUUGCGAGCCUAAGAAGUGUUCGACACUUUUCUACAACAGCGAUUAUGAAGCAAGUUGUUUCAGAGCUACAUGUGUCGGUGCCAUGGGGAGAAAUAAGGGGCCAAGCUUGGGGUCCUGAUCAUGGCCGUCCAGUACUGUGCCUGCAUGGCUGGGCAGACAAUGCUGGGUCAUUCAACACCCUAAUUCCAUUUCUACCAAGAGACUGGAAGUGUGUGGCCGUGGAUUUGGUCGGCCAUGGACUGUCCAGCCACAGGCCGGCAGGAGUCUUCUACACCUUCCCCGCGUACGUGUACGACGUGCGGCAGGUCGUCGAAGCUCUGCAGUGGAAACGCUUCUCCAUAAUUGGACACAGCAUGGGAGGCAACAUUGCUGGUUUGUUCAGCGCGUUAUAUCCCGAGAUGGUGGAAUCUGUCGUGUUCCUGGACUCGUUCGGCUUCCUCCCUACUGAGAUGAAAGAGAUGGCAGGACUCGCAAGAAAAGGGAUCGAGGAGAUGAUUGAGUUUGAAAAAAAGAAAGAUGAGAAGAGAGAACGGCUUUACACUUAUGAGAAAGCAGUAGAAAGGUUGAUGACAGCCAAUCCGUCUUUGUCUGAGAAAUCUGUUCACGUCCUUUUGGAGAGAGGCAGCGCGCAAGUUGACGGAGGUGUGGUUUUCAACAGAGAUUUUAGAAUCAACUUGACGAACAUUGUGCGCCUCAGCUUAGAGCAGAGCCUGGAGCUGCAAUCCAGAAUACAGGCUAAAGUUCUUGUUGUCCUGGCAGAGGAUGGACUUAUGAAAAUACCGUCUAAUCCAGAGCAGAAGAGGUACUUCUCUACCCUGCUGGAUGGCUUUAAAGGCCUCGGGGGCCGCGUGUUGACGGUGCCAGGGAACCAUCAUGUUCAUCUGAAUGACCCCGAAACCGUGGCCUCCAUCAUCACCGAUUUCCUGGAGGGCGGAGCCUCAGACUUGGCUGCUAAACUGUAAGAGUCAGGACCUCAGUCGCUGGCACAGACAUCAUUCUACUUCAGAUGCACAAAGGUCCAUUAACACACUGGUUCAUCACUGGGGAUCUUCCCCACCGACCCACACCUAACUUCAAGGACUGGAUCCACAAAACCAUGUCAGAAUUAACAGCAAAAAAAUCUGGAACUCUGGGAUUGUCGUUGUGUUUUUAUAAAGACGCAUUAAUUUUGAAGGGGCUUUUCUAAAAUGAUUGUCUAGCUGGGGUGGGGGGGGCGAGUGAAACUGCACACGCAUGCAUACACACUUAGUGAAUCACUGUGCUGCUGCCGCAGACUAAAAUGUUUUAACAUUAACUGACAUAUUUCAGGUAUCGGUGCAUUUAUGUGGUACCAAUUUUGGGAGUUGCGAAAAUUACUAUUGUGAAAAUUUUAAUGUUUAACAUCUUGAGUCAAGGCGAAGAUGAAAUCUGUUUUAAGAUGUUAUAUUAAUAUAUAUAGAGACAGUAUUUAUUGAUCAUGUGUGGCAUUGUACCUCUCCGUUGUGCCUCUCAGCGUGUCAGGCUGCCGAUGUUGUGGCAAAGGAAAUAAAAUCCCACCAAACUCACAAACGUUUGCGGGUGACUCUUUGCUCCCUCCCAUUAAGAUUUUGGCUGAUCCUGAGCUGGUCGAUUUGGCACAGACCUGGUCGAGUGCUUCUGGUAACCAUGGAUACACAUGUGGCAAGUGCACAGGUUUUCCUUGUGCCUUUUACCAGCAUCCCCCCCCCCCCCAACAAACCGAACAUCUGCAGUGGGCAGGGUAGGUGUGAGCUUUCCCACCUCGGCUUGGCACAGCAGUACCUCCCCCAUGUGAUCUGGGAUUACUCGCGUGUCCGUUACAGUGUGAACUCCCCCCUUUGAGGGCUGGACAAUUCGCCGUCAUUUAACUUUGCUUACUGGAGCGAUGAACUCCUUCAUCUGCGGAAAUUAUCAAUUGAACUGGAAGCGAAUCACACUGGGCACCUGACCCUAUUUCUUUGCGAGGGCUUUUGACAGAAGCGGUUAUAUAAAUUUUUCUCUCCCCUCUGGGCUCAACAUCACCAGGCUGGUCUCCAUGGCAACAUCUCACCCACCCCUCCCCACUCCCCCCCCCCUACUUCCAAAUAUGACGUCAUAAGGCAGAGCAAGCCAAAACGGCUGCAGACUGUCACACGUCAGGGAAAUCUCCCUUUGAGUAGUAGUUCUGUAAUCUUACGUUGAGGAAUCAACGUUGCACUUUGAGUCGCUCACCUCCGAUACCUUUCGGUUACGAUAAGAACGAGGAGGCGAGGCAGCCGAGAUCCCCGGACUUCUCCGCAAAUCUAGAGCAGCUCUACUCCAUUCCAGCAGUCCUAGUUCUGGCGGGGUUUGGAGCUUGCCUGUACUUCCUCGAACCAGGACUGCAGGACGCACACAAGUGGAAUGCCCAGGCACCGCAUAGACGCCCCCUGGUGGCCAAUGAUGAAAACUACAGCAAAGAUGAUGAUAGUGUUCUGAUAUAAUAGUAAAGGAAAAUUUCACACACUGUAUUACAAUAAAUAUACUUGAUGUUUAAUAAAAAUUUAAGGAAGAAUCCCAUAGUGGUAUUUUUCCUAUAGUUUUCCAAUAGAUUCAUAUAACACCAACUAAGGUAGAAGGGGGAUUUAAAACAUCAUCCUAAAAUAAUAUGUAGGAGUGCUCUUAUUAAAAACAAGAGCACUUGUGCCAAUCAUGUUAUGCAAAAGUGAAAUUUGUGAUAAAUAUGUGUUUAUAUAUUUUUCAAUAGACUAGAAAAACUGUAAUUUAUGUUAUUUCAACAACUGCAUAGGGUUAGCAAUGCUAACACAGUUUGUCUCCUCUGUAACAAAGCUUUCUAGAUGAGUAAUGCAACACACAGCCAUGUACAUUGGAAGUUAAUGCUGUGUUCUUCCAAAAUUUUACUUUUGACUUUGUAUUAAAAGAUACUGCGAGAUUUAUGUAUUUCAAAGUGGAAAAAGUGUCCUGGAUCACAAUGUUGUACUAAAGCUGAAGACACGAUGCAGAUAUAUGAAUAAAAUUCCAAAUUAUUUUAUCACCAACACAA